CGUUGCUUCGGCGGGUUGGCCCCGGUCUCCGGGGUCCCCGGCCCUACUCGGGCGCCCGCCGGAGGUAUCUAACUCUUGAACUUUUAUGGCCUCUCUGAGUCUUUGUACUUAAUAAGUCAAAACUUUCAACAACGGAUCUCUUGGUUCUGGCAUCGAUGAAGAACGCAGCGAAAUGCGAUAAGUAAUGUGAAUUGCAGAAUUCAGUGAAUCAUCGAAUCUUUGAACGCACAUUGCGCCCGCCAGUAUUCUGGCGGGCAUGCCUGUUCGAGCGUCAUUUCAACCAUCAAGCCCCCGGCUUGUGUUGGGGACCUGCGGCUGCCGCAGGCCCUGAAAACCAGUGGCGGGCUCGCUAGUCACUCCGAGCGUAGUAAUACAUCUCGCUCAGGGCGUGCUGCGGGUUCCGGCCGUUAAAAAGCCUUAUUUACCCAAGGUUGACCUCGGAUCAGGUAGGAAGACCCGCUGAACUUAAGCAUAUCAAUAAGCGGAGGA
rnacentral:rRNA from 1 species